UGCAAUCCAUAACAGCCCAGAGGUUUUGUUGGUGGUUUAUAGCAUGUUCUCUCUCUGGCUUUUUUUUGUAGGUCUUCAAAAAAAACUUUACAAAUGGGCUGUGUACAAGAAGCUUACGUGAGUCUACAUAAGGAAUUUUCACUGGGAAACUUUACUGAAUCCUGCACAUUGCUGUAAUAACAAAUAAAGGCUUAGAAAGAGGAUGAGCUCUUGGCACCUACUCUACAGAGCCAUUUUCACUGUGUAACACUGCUGCUGUAUAUUUGGUUACCUAUGUACAGAUCCAAGGAUAAAUUUUGGCCCUGACCAUGGAAUAUUUACUCACUUUCAAAUACGGAUGUGACCUGCCUUUUCCUUCUGCGACUAACAGGGUGACCAGAGGCAGUGGAAUGUACACCAGGGUUGGAAAGAAUAAAACCAGAGGGAAAGCAAGCUGUCAAGAGAACAGUGUACUGAAGAGAAAAAAUGUAAAACGUGACUUCUAUUUACCAUGAUUAAUAUGUAAAGUUAACUUGUUUGUCAUGGAAUAUAUUAAUAUGUAUGUUUCCCCAUUAUGUAGAUCUUUUCUUAUAUUACUUAUUAGAAAGGGAUACAAUCACAAUGAUGGGGUACGAAUGCCACUUAAAAAUUAGGUGAUGCCCAGUCAACAUAAUAUAACCACUAAUGUCAUUUCUGAUUUAGAUGUGGUGAUAUCAGUGUAAUUGCCGCUGGGAAGAAAUUAAAAUGGCUGUUAAUGAUAAAUAAAAUGACAAGGAGGAGGAUCCUCCUUCA
rnacentral:lncRNA from 1 species